GCUGCCGCCGCGUGCCCGGAGAGGAGUGCACGAAGCGGACGGGAGCGCGCAUGAAGAGAGCGGAGGCUGAGUGUAGCUCUGAGCAUGUUUCCACACGGUCACACUCCUUCUCUCACUGUUUGCUCGACAUGUUUCACAGAUACCUACAAGUGCCCAUCCUGUCUGUUGGAGUGAUCAGCUCUGCUGCCCUCUCUAAGACCAAACAGAGACCACCGUACUUCUCUUCAUAGAUCCAAUCACCUGCCACAGCUGUGAUUCCCUAUGAGCAUGUAGCAGAGCUCUCCUGCUCGUUCUUCUUGAUGUGCAGCAGAUCCUGAAGGAUUACAAAAAGGAAGCGGCAGACGAGGUGAACCACAAACCAGGACCUCUGGGAGACGGUGCAGUUGUUGUAGGGUUGGUGUGAUGUGCAGUGUGUGACAGAACUCUUGCUGUAGGUAGGUCGGUAGGAAAGGAAUUGCAGUGAAUAAGUCUGCAUGGAGAACAAGUGGUCCUGUCAGAUAAAAUAAUAAUCUUUAUGUAAUUCUUAAUAUGGCAUUUUUAUUAAAAAAAAGUCCUUCUCUGUGCUCUGAGGGGGACAUGUUAGCACAGAAGAUGCUUUGUACUGUGUCUAGUGGUGGCUCGCACAUGACGCCUUCUGAUAACAGCCACCGUCUCAGACUAGAGACUAACUGGUUCUGAACUGCCAGUGGGAAGAGUGAACAUGUCCAUUCUUGAUUAACAGCGUGUAUUUACCUCGCUCACAGACUUGAUUUACAGGUCUGAUUGGCUGCGUGAUAUCAGGUGAGAGGACCAGUCUGAGAGAUUCCUGUACAGCGCUGUGCCAGAGACUACAGAGUGGCCUCUUCCCUCAGGCUGAGACACCUCAGUCAUCUGCAGCAUCCGUCACAUAAAAAAGGUUUAAUUCUAUGAUUUAUCCAACCUGGAUAAGAUGGAAUCUGCCCCAGUGACAGACACUGAAAAUAACUACUUUAAUUAUACAGACAUAGCUGAUUGUGUUGCUGAUGGUCUCAUUUGUUUAAGAAGAAAAUACAGAGGAAUCAUUGUUAUUAAAUUUGGAAUGUUUCAUAAAUCCAGUUAAGUUUCUUGCA